rnacentral:rRNA from 1 species
AGCAACGCGCAGAACCUUACCAGCUCUUGACAUGUCACGUAUGAAUUCCGGAGACGGAUUUCUUCAGUUCGGCUGGCGUGAACACAGGUGCUGCAUGGCUGUCGUCAGCUCGUGUCGUGAGAUGUUGGGUUAAGUCCCGCAACGAGCGCAACCCUCGCCUUUAGUUGCCAUCAUUAAGUUGGGCACUCUAGAGGGACUGCCGGUGAUAAGCCGAGAGGAAGGUGGGGAUGACGUCAAGUCCUCAUGGCCCUUACGGGCUGGGCUACACACGUGCUACAAUGGCGGUGACAGUGGGCAGCUACUUCGCGAGGAGAAGCUAAUCCCAAAAAGCCGUCUCAGUUCGGAUUGCACUCUGCAACUCGAGUGCAUGAAGUUGGAAUCGCUAGUAAUCGUGGAUCAGCAUGCCACGGUGAAUACGUUCCCGGGCCUUGUACACACCGCCCGUCACACCAUGGGAGUUGGUUUUACCCGAAGGCGUUGCGCUAACCCAGCAAUGGGAGGCAGGCGACCACGGUAGGGUCAGCGACUGGGGUGAAGUCGUAACAAGGUAGC